ensembl:ribozyme RNase_MRP RNase MRP
GGGCAUUCAGAAGGCUUGCACUCUGGGCUACACACUGAGAACCAGUUUCUCUCCCCCCGCCCAGGGGAAAGUCCCCGGACCCGUGGCAGAAAGUGCCCUGGUUAAACCCAGUGCCGGCUCGCAUCUCACCGCAUCCAGCUGAGACGUUCACAUGAACUGAGCUCGGUGAUCCGCAGUCGACUUUGUCAGCGUUGAUAGUAAUGCAAGUGAGUUGCUACUAACGCCUUAACACAACGGGGCUCAUUCUCCGAAUGCU